rnacentral:rRNA from 1 species
UACGUAGGUGGCAAGCGUUGUCCGGAUUUACUGGGCGUAAAGGGCGUGCAGGCGGUUUGUUAAGUGCAGGGUGAAAGCUCCCGGCUCAACUGGGAGAGGUCCUUGCAUACUGGCAAACUCGAGGGAGGCAGAGGAAAGUGGAAUUCCCGGUGUAGUGGUGAAAUGCGUAGAUAUCGGGAGGAACACCAGUGGCGAAGGCGACUUCUUGGCCUGUUCUUGACGCUGAGGCGCGAAGGCCAGGGGAGCAAACGGG